rnacentral:rRNA from 1 species
CCUACGUGUGGCAGCAGUGAGGAAUAUUGGUCAAUGGGCUAAGGCCUGAACCAGCCAAGUCGCGUGAGGGAAGACGGUCCUAUGGAUUGUAAACCUCUUUUGUCGGGGAGCAACGAGGCCAACGGUGGCCGAAGUGAGCGUACCCGACGAACAAGCAUCGGCUAACUCCGUGCCAGCAGCCGCGGUAAUACGGAGGAUGCGAGCGUUAUCCGGAUUUAUUGGGGUUAAAGGGUGCGUAGGCGGAACAUUAAGUCAGCGGUAAAAUCGAGGGGCUCAACCCCUUUAAGCCGUUGACACUGGUGGUCUUGAGUGGGCGAGAAGUAGGCGGAAUGCGUGGUGUAGCGGUGAAAUGCAUAGAUAUCACGCAGAACUCCGAUUGCGAAGGCAGCAUACCGGCGCCCGACUGACGCUGAGGCACGAAAGCGUGGGGAUCGAACAGGAUUAGAUACCCCAGUAGUC